CAGUAGCCGCGGUAAUACAGAGGGUGCGAGCGUUAAUCGGAUUUACUGGGCGUAAAGCGUGCGUAGGCGGCUUCUUAAGUCGGAUGUGAAAUCCCUGAGCUUAACUUAGGAAUUGCAUUCGAUACUGGGAAGCUAGAGUAUGGGAGAGGAUGGUAGAAUUCCAGGUGUAGCGGUGAAAUGCGUAGAGAUCUGGAGGAAUACCGAUGGCGAAGGCAGCCAUCUGGCCUAAUACUGACGCUGAGGUACGAAAGCAUGGGGAGCAAACAGGAUUAGAUAUCCCGGUAGUCCCUGUCUCUUAUAC
rnacentral:rRNA from 1 species